GGGCCACCUCCUAGAACCCAGCAGAAGAGCUGGAGGAGCAGAGGCCAGUCAGCCAGGUCCAUGUCCCAGGGCUGACCGGGAGGAGGCCAGUCCCCUGCACUUGGCUGAGGACAAGGAAGUGGGGGAGCAGAGGAGUCUGGCCCCCAGUCUCUGCUCUGCAGCGGGGGCCUGUGUGGACAACGGGGGACAGACGAGGAGGUCCUCCUGUGGCUUGUCCCAGCCUCUGCGGCGGGAGGCGCUUUCCAGCAGGGGAAGGGCAGUGGGGCCAGCGGCACCACCCUGGCCUGGGCAGGGUGUCCUCCAGGGCUUCCCCCAACACUCGUCCAGAGGUCUGCCAAAGGGGAGGUCCACUGACCUCUGAGUCUUCUCCCAGUGAUGGGAGGGGACAUCCCCAGGGGAGUCCUAGUAGGGUCCUAGCAAGGGUCCAUACGCCCAGGGGAGGCCCAAUCACAGGUGGACACUUGGUGCUGGCAGAGGAGAGGAGAUGUGGAAUGCGAGGCCCUUGUUCAGCCAGAAGCCAGGAUGGUCGGCGGUGAGGACGUGCCCAGCAGGGUCCGCGAUGCCCUCUCACGGCCUGCCCAGCCUGUGGUCUGCGCCAGUAGCCAGCGGAGGAACGUCAAGAGCUCCGUCUGCCUGCUGGAGAGACAGUCCCCACGGGGCCCUCCUCCCACCAGCUGAGGGCAAAGGCACGCCCUGGGGACCAGGAAGGGGGUGGCUCUUGGUCACAGGGGAGCCGAGCCUGGAGCCUCCCUGUGGGAUCCCCCGCAGCUGAGCAUGGCUCCAGGGUCCCUGGCCCUGUCUGUGGCCUCCCACUCAUUAGCUGGGCUGCCCCAAGCCACAGCUGGGCAGGCACUUGGGGGGGAGGGUCCUGCAGUGCUGGACGCGUGCCCACAGGCACCCCCUGCUCAGAGAUUAAUCUGGUGUCACCCGUGUCCAGAUGGAGUCGGAGAGCUCUGUCACCUUACCCUCCCUCCUGGAGGGCUUCCCUCCCCCGACAGGCUCAGCCACGGGGUCUCCCCGCCGUGUCCGGGAGCGAGCAGCGCCAAGGCUCCAGAGGUGGCCCCUGUGACCAUGGCUGCGCAGGUGAGUCCAAUGUGAAGUGAGGGUCAACGCGGCACAAUGCGUCUCAGGGUCUGUUCCCUGUAACUACAGAAAAUGGCUUAAUGUAGAAUUCUCAUGAGGGAAACCUCGCUUUUAAGUCAUCACCUAAGGACUCCUCACACCCUGGUCCCCACUUUCUUUUUCUGAAAUAAAUUUUCCAACAAACCAAACUGUCCUCGUACAGUCUCCCUGUUUUCUGGAAACCGGCUUCUCCCUGGAAACCUCCGCUCCCCUGACUUGGAGACGCCCGCCUGCGAUUUAACCCGGGUCGGCUUGACGCACUUUGAAAAUCCCGUCUGCGGGUCGUGAGUCGGGUUCCAGCAGGCCAGGCGUGUCCUGUGCUUGGGGACGACCAGGGAGCCUGGCCGGUCCCCUGGUGCCCCCACGGCUGGCCUCCUGUGGAGCAGCAGGCUGGCAGCCCCGCCCCCAGAGCCCCUCUGCUGCACCACACCAGCUGAGGAACCCGCUUCUGAAAGUGUGUCCCCCAGGAAACGAGGACCCGCCAGGCCAGGGUCACAGCCACCCUUCUCUGCUGAGAUGCAGUGACCGAGGCUUCUCUGUGACCUUGUUGCCUCCUCCUGCUGCCUGGGUGAUGCCUACGGGGCCCCUCAGCAUGCUCACGACUCACCUCUGCAUCCUCCAUCUGCACGUGGAACAUGAAGGAGGGGCCCCUCCAGCUCACCACUUCCCACUGCUCCCAGCCGGAAGCCAGCCUUCCACCAUGACUGAGGCCCAUUCCAGACCCACACCCGGCACCAAGAGACGAGGCUGUGACCGCGGAGCGUGGCGGCUGCCGCUUUCCUUGGCUCCACCUCCCGUUCUCCAUGCCCUGGGCCACGGUCCUCUCCUUCUCUGACUGGGCCUGGUGUCUGGCUCCCUCCUAAGGCUCCUGGUGACAGCACUGGACUCACCUGGAUGAUCCAGGGUCACCUUCUCAUCUCGAGAUCCAACACAAUCCAUUGGCCAAGCCUCCUUUGCCACAUGAGGUGACACAAUCACACAUACUAGGGACGAGGACUGGACAUCAUGGUGGGGGCAAUGACUCUGCCUCUGGGACUGCAGACAGACGGCUUGACAGUGCACACAGCAAGACACCUGCGGGACGCCCUCUCCUUCCCAAAUUGCCCUCCGUGGCAGCCUAAGAGGGAACUGUGCACACUAACACCAGGGAGCGCCUGCUGGGCCAGCCCUUCUCGAGGUCAGCGUAAUGGCCCGAGGACCUGCGGGCACCUUGUCUGUGCUAUGACAUCAAGGUCACUGUGGUUGGGAACACUGGUGACAUCAUCAUGCUCAAGGUCACUGGUCCAUGUGCUGCUAGAAUUGAGGCUCCCAGGUUCCCCGGGGGACAGCAGUCCUGAAAGUCACGGUUUUGCUUUCGGAUUUUAAAGCUCCCCCCUGCUAAGGCAUGUGCUCAUGGACCAUGUAGAGCUCUCUGUGUCCAGCCAUCUCCACGAUGUCGAAUGGGACAUUCCCGCCUCACUAAUUUGGGAAGAUUAAAUGAAGCACGGCUGCAGGCCCCUUACUUCCUGAGCAGGGGCUGGCAGACGCCGGCUCCUUCCCUUCCUGGCAGGCGCAGCCCCUGCAAGCCUGCCCCUCCGCCAGUGUCAGCAUGAGGCUGACAUGGUGAGGAAUAGUGUGUCCUCUCCACCUGCAGAUUUCUGUUUCUCCCAGCCCGGAAUAGCUCAAGUAGGCUGUGACCUCGGCAAGCACCCUUGAGAGAGUCUCGAGGCGCCUUGAGAAAUUGCGCAAGAGGCGCUCUGCAUCUGGGCUGGAUCUAUUAUUCAUGCACGCAUGUUUCAGCGAGCACGGUAAUUUAGAGUCUCUCAGAGUGCUCUCUGCAGCAGCUAUAAACCACCUUCCAUGCACUCUGGGAAAAAUCACCUUUCCCUCCCUGCAGCUGGGGGCAUGCCAGAGAAGUCGCCCAGAGAAGCAAGGGCCAAGGUGGGGCCAGGCAGUUCAGAGCUCUUCAGAGCCCUGCAGACCUCACAUCGGGGCCGCUGCAUCCCAGCCGCCUCCUGCAUGACCUCCAGAGUUCUGCUUUCUCAUUGUGAAAUGAGUCACGGCGCGAGACGCCUCACAGUCGGGCUUUCUGCAGGAGAAGCCCAGUCCAGCUCCCCCUCCAUGACCUACAGCAAGUAAUUUACUGCUCUCCAAAAUCAGCUCUGUGGGGCUAUGGACGCCUGCCUUCAGUGUUCCAGGAACCAGAACGCUGAGCACACACUGGGCACACGGAGGCAUGGAUCUUCUGCAUAUGCAUAUUCAUCUCCAUCUUCACAGCUCCCGCUUUAGAAAAAGGCUUAACUUUCAUGUCUACAGAGAAUACAAUAAAUACAGAGGCACAGAUUUUCCCAGGAAACAUCCCUGACAUGGAGCUUACACCACCCAUGCAUACUAAGGGGUGGAGAUGAACAUAAAGAAAAGGAAAGAAUGAAAUUAACAUCCACUUCAGAUGCUAGAGAUGCCAGGAGGAGAAGCUCCUCCAGGAUCUGGGAGGCCAGAGCUGGUUUCUGAUUUUGCUUUUUGCUGUGAUAAUGUGACAGGUCCAGAGUGGCUGCUUCCUUU